rnacentral:rRNA from 1 species
CGGCGGACGGGUGCGUAACGCGUAGGAACAUGUCCGAAGGUGGGGGACAACCCUGGGAAACUGGGGCUAAUACCGCAUAUGACCUGAGGGUCAAAGCAGCGAUGCGCCUUUGGAGUGGCCUGCGUCCGAUUAGCUUGUUGGUGGGGUAAAGGCCUACCAAGGCGACGAUCGGUAGCUGGUCUGAGAGGACGAUCAGCCACACUGGGACUGAGACACGGCCCAGACUCCUACGGGAGGCAGCAGUGGGGAAUAUUGGACAAUGGGCGCAAGCCUGAUCCAGCAAUGCCGCGUGUGUGAAGAAGGUCUUCGGAUUGUAAAGCACUUUCGACAGGGACGAUGAUGACGGUACCUGUAGAAGAAGCCCCGGCUAACUUCGUGCCAGCAGCCGCGGUAAUACGAAGGGGGCUAGCGUUGCUCGGAAUUACUGGGCGUAAAGGGCGCGUAGGCGGCUCUGUUAGUCAGGCGUGAAAUUCCUGGGCUCAACCUGGGGACUGCGCUUGAUAC